rnacentral:rRNA from 1 species
GAUGAACGCUGGCGGCGUGCCUAAUACAUGCAAGUCGAGCGAACAGACGAGGAGCUUGCUCCUCUGACGUUAGCGGCGGACGGGUGAGUAACACGUGGAUAACCUACCUAUAAGACUGGGAUAACUUCGGGAAACCGGAGCUAAUACCGGAUAAUAUAUUGAACCGCAUGGUUCAAUAGUGAAAGACGGUUUUGCUGUCACUUAUAGAUGGAUCCGCGCCGCAUUAGCUAGUUGGUAAGGUAACGGCUUACCAAGGCAACGAUGCGUAGCCGACCUGAGAGGGUGAUCGGCCACACUGGAACUGAGACACGGUCCAGACUCCUACGGGAGGCAGCAGUAGGGAAUCUUCCGCAAUGGGCGAAAGCCUGACGGAGCAACACCGCGUGAGUGAUGAAGGUCUUCGGAUCGUAAAACUCUGUUAUUAGGGAAGAACAAAUGUGUAAGUAACUAUGCACGUCUUGACGGUACCUAAUCAGAAAGCCAUGGCUAACUACGUG